GGCAUCGUAGUGUAGUGGUAACACACCUUCAGUGAAUGGAGUUUAUUAUCCACCAUGUUUCAAUUGGAGUCAUAUGUUCGAUUUGUACUGAUGCCA